CAAGUCAGCCAGGCAAUCGCUGCUGUGCACGCGUGUUUUUGCAUACGGUCACAGGGGAGGAAAGUCCGGGCUCCAUAGGACGGGGUGCCAGAUAACGUCUGGGAAGCGUGAGCUUACGACAAGUGCAACAGAAAGUAUACCGCCGGAACUUGUUUUCGGUAAGGGUGAAAUGGUGCGGUAAGAGCGCACCGCGUUUUUAGUAAUAAAAACGGCAGGGUAAACUCCACCCGGAGCAAGAUCAAAUAGGUCUCCAUUUUGUGUGGUCCGCACGGGAGACGGGUAGAUUGCUUGAACCGAUGAGCAAUUGUCGGUCUAGAUGAAUGAUUGCCGCUGCUUUGCAGAACAGAACCCGGCUUACAGGCUGACUUGCUAU
rfam:Succinatimonas hippei YIT 12066 genomic scaffold Scfld140, whole genome shotgun sequence.